UUCACUCCAAUAACUCGGCCAGACAUGCCGAAAAUAGCUAAACAAGAUAUCUCCGACCAAUCCCUCCAUUUCCUACACUCCAAGGUUGAUGCAUUGGUGGAUCACAUGAGUAGCAUGGCCUUGCCCAAGAUAUCUGGUAAAUAGGCAAGGACAUCCUCCAAGCAACCACCAAAGAAGGCAGUGAUGGUGUACUACUGUGAGUGUUGUGGACAUGAGGGUCGUGAUGCUUUGACAUGUCAAGUCCAUUCAGAAGAAGUUGCCCCAUAAGAGAACAUUGAGCAAGUUAACUAUGCUCAAGGGGGUUACAACCAGCAAGGUGGAUACAAUCAGGGUGCUAAUGGCUCGAAAUGUGUCGUAGUCAACACCAAUGUUUUGAAGCGGAUUGGAUGCUUUUGACAUAACCCAGGUCCUUUUGGACGCGAGUUAGAUCAGGUCUACGGAAUAUAGAUCCUGGAUUCAAGAGGCGUUUACAUGCAGGAAGGGAUAAGCACCCAACAACGCCCGACAAACCGAUACUAUGAAAUUGGAUAAGUUAUAUUUUAUUUUCUUAGUUUAGUGG
rnacentral:lncRNA from 1 species